rnacentral:rRNA from 1 species
UACGGAGGAGGCAAGCGUUAUCCGGAAUUAUUGGGCGUAAAGCGUCCGUAGGUGGCACUUCAAGUCUGCGGUCAAAGACCGGGGCUUAACCCUGGAAAGGCCGUGGAAACUGAAGUGCUAGAGUGCAGUAGGGGUAGAGGGAAUUCCCGGUGUAGCGGUGAAAUGCGUAGAGCUCGGGAAGAACAUCGGUGGCGAAAGCGCUCUACUGGACUGCAACUGACACUGAGGGACGAAAGCGUGGGGAGCGAACAGG